GAUAGAUACUGGAGCUGUUUGUUGGAACUUGAAAACUACGUAUUCGUGGAUGGAUCAAUAAAACAGUCGAGCGUGGUCGGCAGUUUGAAUUUCCCGCCAUUUAAAUUUCCGUGUGAAACGUAGUAAGGCCGUUCAGCAGUUGUGGAUUUGUAUAGGUUUGAAUGUAUUGUGUUGUAAAAUACUCUCAAGCGAAGAACUUGAUUUGUUUGGUCCACUUUGAUGUACACAGUACUGUCACUUUCAUUUCAUGCAAUUGAUCUGCUUGGUCCACUUUGA